GUUCUCUAUGAUAAUUGCCCACAUGAUGGACUUUCAGACUGCUGUGCUAGAGUUUCACUUGGCUGUCCUCCAGGGGAAGAUGCUAGCUACAUUACUCAUGCAACUUAUUUUUCACUAAAUGUUGUUUGUAAAGGUUUUGAGCCUUAUGAGGGUGAUCGAGUAGAAGUUGCAUUUUCCAUGCAGCCAGACACAUGGACUAGAAAGGCCCUUUUGGUGAAACCUCUGAGACAUAAGCAUGUAUAUGAGGUCUACAUUACUAGUGUGCACGGAAGAAAUGGGGUUAUAGAUGAUAGUAUCUUUUUCACCUUGGAUUCUCUGAAACUUCCUGAUGGCUACAUACCUCAGGUAUCCGACCUCGUGGAUGCGGUCGUGCUGGAAAGCAUUCAGUCCUGCUAUCUUUGGAGAGCAAUUUCUGUGACUCCAGUGAAAAGGCAGUAAUAAGAAAAGAAUGUUUAUUCACAGUUUCUCUUUUUUUUUUUCUCUUGGCAGUUAAGGGCCUUGAUUUAAAUGUAUUUUGAAAAUAAGUGGCUAGUUAAACUUCAAUAUUUAAUUCAGGUAUAACCUUUAAAGUACAGUUAAUUCAAAUACAGUCUAAAUGGAAUAUAUCUUCUGAAAAGUGCUCAGCAUUUAAAAUUCUUGAUU